rnacentral:snoRNA from 1 species
GUGAGGUGAUGAUGAAGUUUAUCCAUUCUCUGAGUGCAGUGGUGCUGCCCUCCUGCAGCACCCCGAUUCCUGUUCUAGGGUCUGGGUGCUGUGCAGCCUCCAGAGACCCUCUGGUCUGCCAGUGUCCUACUGGGGGCUGUUGUGGUGUGUGGCUGGCUGCCUGCAGGAGUGAAGUGGUGCUGGCAUGGUUGGAGCCCCUCUCUGGGGGGCUCUGUCCUCUCUGAGAUGAAGGGUGAUGUCUGAUCAC